AUGACAUUAGCCACUUCACUGAAACCGGUCAGUUCAUCACUUCAUCUUUGUUCGUUGAUAUUCUUUUUUUUUGAGAGUACGCCAAAGGCAUACUUUUAUAAAAGAGAGAAAAUACAAUGUACAAGAAGCCUCGAAAUGGAUGCGAACAUCCACUCUCGACCACACCCCAGUACAACCAAAGCAGGAAGCAAGGUCAUGUGUAAGACGGAGGAGGAAACUGAUUUGGCUCUUCAUCACGUUGAGACUGUUGCAGCCAUGUGUGAUGUGUCAAUUUCUAUGAUGGGACAAAGGGUAGAAUCAGGAUGA
rnacentral:rRNA from 1 species